UACGAAGGGGGCUAGCGUUGCUCGGAAUCACUGGGCGUAAAGGGUGCGUAGGCGGGCCUUUAAGUCAGGGGUGAAAUCCUGGAGCUCAACUCCAGAACUGCCUUUGAUACUGAAGAUCUUGAGUUCGGGAGAGGUGAGUGGAACUGCGAGUGUAGAGGUGAAAUUCGUAGAUAUUCGCAAGAACACCAGUGGCGAAGGCGGCUCACUGGCCCGAUACUGACGCUGAGGCGCGAAAGCGUGGGGAGCAAACAGG
rnacentral:rRNA from 1 species